UGCAAAUUAGUUUAACAAAGAAUCACAUUUUUGCCUCAUUCCAUUUUAAACAUGGAUUCCUUUUAAUUUGUGUUUGCAGUAUACAACUGCUUGGAACACAAUUUAGGAUAAGAUGCAAAACCAGUGAACCACUCAUGGACAGCUGUUUCGUUGUUAAUGCAACUCUUCAGCAUGAGGUUGGUUACUGGUUUGCUUAGUGAGGCUUGGUAGUGCUUGGGAAUCCACAUA